GCCGGCGACCAUACCACGUUGAAAGCACCGGUUCUCAUCCGAUCACCGCAGU
rnacentral:rRNA from 1 species